AUAUUAUCAGACUUGAUUUGCUGUGUUGGUGUUGUGUACUCAUAUUCACCUGAGUACACAACACCAACACAGCAAAUCAUGAUUAUUAUAUUAC
rnacentral:miRNA from 1 species